rnacentral:rRNA from 1 species
AGAACGAACGCUGGCGGCAUGCCUAAUACAUGCAAGUCGAACGAACUCUUCGGAGUUAGUGGCGCACGGGUGCGUAACGCGUGGGAAUCUGCCCUUGGGUUCGGAAUAACAGUUGGAAACGACUGCUAAUACCGGAUGAUAUCGAAAGAUCAAAGAUUUAUCGCCCAGGGAUGAGCCCGCGUAGGAUUAGCUAGUUGGUGAGGUAAAGGCUCACCAAGGCGACGAUCCUUAGCUGGUCUGAGAGGAUGAUCAGCCACACUGGGACUGAGACACGGCCCAGACUCCUACGGGAGGCAGCAGGUAGGGAAUAGUUGGGACAAGUGGGCGACGAAGCCCGUGACUCCAAGACUAAUGCCGCGUGA